UUUAUUUGACUUCAUGGACUCAAAUAGCCGGAAGAAUUGACGCUAACGGUAAAAUUCAGCAACGUCAUUUUCUCUGCCAUCUUCGCCAUUGAGAUGUUGCUCAAAGUCAUCGCCGAGGGUCCGCUCAACUACGUCGUCGGCAACGGAUUCAACGUUUUCGAAGGAGUCAUCUUCAUCCUCAGGGUGUUGAUAAUUUUUCUGAAACGGUUUUUGAAUGGCGAGAAAAAUCAAUCACCUAUUGCUUUUCCCAAUAUAUGGCAACCGUUUAAUGACUCGAGAGGCAUCACCCACAACUAUACUCUAUAUGCACACAUUACUCAUUUUGGUAGAUUCGGUAAAAAACGGUCGAUUCUGGUAACGCCGGUUUCAAAAUUUUUAUUCUUAAAUAAAAUGAAUUAGUUUUGAAAAGCUAGAAUUUCCCAAAAAAAUUUUCCCUCAAACGACAACCAGGUCGGUGGUCUCGUUGGCGUAUUCCUCAGUCCAGCUAUUGUUCACUGUUGCACCGUGUUAUUUGAACUCCCGCCAUUAAUUCUCACGUUGGACACUGCAGUUUACACAGACUACAUUUUUUUUCCAAACAUGUCUCAAGAACAUCCCGAGGCCGAGACGGUACUCAACUCAUUCUCUUCGGAUCUAUCGUACUCGUCGUUGCCGUCGUUGAAGAUAGAGACGGAAACGCCAACGGUGACGGAGCGGUCGUUCGGCUUGUUUACCAUCAAUUGUGAGUUGCUUGCUCCACCGGCUUCGAAGACUGUCACCUUUAUUUGUCGUUUUAACGUGCUUUGGGGUCCGUAAACUGGUUUCGACUAACUUGCUGUGCUCCAAUGAACGAUAUAGCUACCACUCCCAAUUGCCUUCCACGUUUCGUGAACUUGGACGACGGUGACGGUAAAAUUUUAGAUGUAUCACCUACGAGCGGUACAUUCACGCAUUGAGGAACAACUUUUAGAGCUGUCAAGAUAAACAAGACAAGAACUUUGCGAUGAUGUGACGUUUAAAUUUCCCUGUGGUAGCUUGUAAAAGGCCCACAAGGUCGUUUUGCGUCUCAAUAUCGAGUACUUCCAAGCUUUGUUUCGCAGCAACUAUAGGGAGUAGUUGACGGGUGAAGUCUCCGUUAUCGACAUCCCUUACCAACUCUUUGUGGACGUGGUUCGUAGUCUGACACGACAUAACUUUUAAUACCCAGAUUUUACUUUUAACGCUAGAAAGCGUGGUAACUUACUUAUCCGUUUCCAUCAUGGCAGGUGAUGCUAAAUCCAAGCAAGGCGGGCCAUCCGGCUCUACUUCAACUGAUGCUUCUUCCCCUCCCAAUGCUGACUCCGUUCACGUGAACAUACCUGAACCCCCACUACGCUACAAUACAGCUUUCUGAGUAUAAUGACAGUAACCGCCUUUGGCGGACUGACUGGGGACUGACUGGUUGAGGGCUGGGCAUCAGCAUCUUUCAUUGCGCUUUCUUGGUGUUCCAGAUGGUGAUAUGUGCCUACAUCACCUUGAUCAACAUGGAUGAAAGAGCCCAUCAACCAAAAUUUCUACCACUGGCUACUAUCCUCAUUCUGUUCACAUCAAUUAAUCUGUUUUUUUUUCUGGUGUGACCGGAACAAUGGUAAGGGAGGGGAUAUUUUUCGCUGCUCGGACUUAAGUUGACCAAUGUUUUGUUCCCCAAAAAUCCAAAAAUUUGGCUUGUCUUUUUUUUCGUCUCUCCUUUUAACUUGUCUCUUUCUCUCUUGUCUCUUUUUUUCUUUUCUUUCAUGUUUCGUACACAUUGUUAUUUUUCCUUGUCUCUUGCAUUAAACAAGCAUUAAAUAUCUAAUAUUAUACUAAUAUCUAAUAUAUAACGAGGUCGUGCCAAGAGUGCAGAGGUACUUAAAACGGAGUUGGCCACACCACCAAGCUCCACAAAGUAAAAUGUUCAAUAAGUUGUUUGGCUUAUAUUUAAAUUGAAUUUUAAAAUGUUUUCCUUCUUUAGGACCUCCACUAGAGAUGUGGCGCAUCAUCUAUCUGUCCCAGAAGGCAUGAUCACGCGUAGUAAGGCUCGGGCUCGUGCUCACAGUGGAAUUUAAAAUCAUUUUUCAUUUCAUUCUUCAUUUUUUCACUCACUUCCCAUUUUCUACAAUAAUAAUAAUUGUUUGUUUUACCAAUUUGGUUUCAUAUCUUUGUUUGAUUUGAUCUAAUAUUCAGCAUUCAAUAAAUCAUUACCAAACG
rnacentral:lncRNA from 1 species